rnacentral:rRNA from 1 species
CCUACGGGGGGCAGCAGUGAGGAAUAUUGGUCAAUGGGCGGAAGCCUGAACCAGCCAAGUCGCGUGCAGGAUGACGGCCCUACGGGUUGUAAACUGCUUUUAUACGGGAAUAACGCGCCUUACGUGUAGGGCUUUGCAUGUACCGCAUGAAUAAGGACCGGCCAAUUCCGUGCCAGCAGCCGCGGUAAUACGGAAGGUCCGGGCGUUAGCCGGAUUUAUUGGGUUUAAAGGGAGCGUAGGCCGCAUGUCAAGCGUGCUGUGAAAUGUCCGGGCUCAACCCGGGGCCUGCAGCGGGAACUGGAGUGCUUGAGUGCGCGGAAGGCAGGCGGAAUUCGUAGUGUAGCGGUGAAAUGCUUAGAUAUGACGAAGAACCCCGAUUGCGAAGGCAGCUUGCUGCAGCGGAACUGACGCUGAUGCUCGAAAGCGCGGGGAUCGAACAGGAUUAGAUACCCGAGUAGUC